rnacentral:piRNA from 1 species
UAAGCAGCCCUGGGGCAAGAGUGUGA